GAGGGAUACAGAGCCUUCUGGUGUGGUCUCUCAAAAACUUAACUCUAAUUGACUGAUGAACUCACAAGUGUAGGUAGUGUGCUACACAAGGGGCAAGUUUUUGCUAACACUCCACUCUGGCCUGUGAGUGGAAUUUGAUAGUAACCUUUGCUACAAGU
rnacentral:snoRNA from 1 species